rnacentral:rRNA from 1 species
AACGAACGCUGGCGGCAGGCCUAACACAUGCAAGUCGAGCGGACCCUUCGGGGUUAGCGGCGGACGGGUGAGUAACGCGUGGGAAUAUGCCCUUCUCUACGGAAUAGUCCUGGGAAACUGGGGGUAAUACCGUAUACGCCCUUUGGGGGAAAGAUUUAUCGGGGAAGGAUUAGCCCGCGUUGGAUUAGGUAGUUGGUGGGGUAAUGGCCUACCAAGCCGACGAUCCAUAGCUGGUUUGAGAGGAUGAUCAGCCACACUGGGACUGAGACACGGCCCAGACUCCUACGGGAGGCAGCAGUGGGGAAUCUUAGACAAUGGGGGCAACCCUGAUCGAGCCAUGCCGGGUGAGUGAUGAAGGCCUUAGGGUUGUAAAGCUCUUUCAGCUGGGAAGAUAAUGACGGUACCAGCAGAAGAAGCCCCGGCUAACUCCGUG